UCUACCAUGCAGUCGACGAUGAAGCCCAGCUUGCUGGGUGGAUUAGUGGCGAACGGGUGAGUAACACGUGAGUAACCUGCCCUUAACUCUGGGAUAAGCCUGGGAAACUGGGUCUAAUACCGGAUAGGAGCGUCCACCGCAUGGUGGGUGUUGGAAAGAUUUAUCGGUUUUGGAUGGACUCGCGGCCUAUCAGCUUGUUGGUGAGGUAAUGGCUCACCAAGGCGACGACGGGUAGCCGGCCUGAGAGGGUGACCGGCCACACUGGGACUGAGACACGGCCCAGACUCCUACGGGAGGCAGCAGUGGGGAAUAUUGCACAAUGGGCGCAAGCCUGAUGCAGCGACGCCGCGUGAGGGAUGACGGCCUUCGGGUUGUAAACCUCUUUCAGUAGGGAAGAAGCGAAAGUGACGGUACCUGCAGAAGAAGCACCGGCUAACUACGUGCCAGCAGCCGCGGUAAUACGUAGGGUGCGAGCGUUAUCCGGAAUUAUUGGGCGUAAAGAGCUCGUAGGCGGUUUGUCGCGUCUGUCGUGAAAGUCCGGGGCUUAACCCCGGAUCUGCGGUGGGUACGGGCAGACUAGAGUGCAGUAGGGGAGACUGGAAUUCCUGGUGUAGCGGUGGAAUGCGCAGAUAUCAGGAGGAACACCGAUGGCGAAGGCAGGUCUCUGGGCUGUAACUGACGCUGAGGAGCGAAAGCAUGGGGAGCGAACAGGAUUAGAUACCCUGGUAGUCCAUGCCGUAAACGUUGGGCACUAGGUGUGGGGACCAUUCCACGGUUUCCGCGCCGCAGCUAACGCAUUAAGUGCCCCGCCUGGGGAGUACGGCCGCAAGGCUAAAACUCAAAGGAAUUGACGGGGGCCCGCACAAGCGGCGGAGCAUGCGGAUUAAUUCGAUGCAACGCGAAGAACCUUACCAAGGCUUGACAUGUUCUCGAUCGCCGUAGAGAUACGGUUUCCCCUUUGGGGCGGGUUCACAGGUGGUGCAUGGUUGUCGUCAGCUCGUGUCGUGAGAUGUUGGGUUAAGUCCCGCAACGAGCGCAACCCUCGUUCCAUGUUGCCAGCACGUAAUGGGUGGGGACUCAUGGGAGACUGCCGGGGUCAACUCGGAGGAAGGUGAGGACAACUU
rnacentral:rRNA from 1 species